AGACGGGGACUGGUUUGUGAUUUUUUUUUUCAAAAAAAAAAAAUGAGGAGCCAUGCCUCUCAUGCGUUUGUCAGAACAGAGCAGUUUUGCUGCUUAAAGUCAGAUCUGCGCCUUUUGCAAUAAAGGAUAAACAUUCGCCUUAAAGCUGCUGCCUGCCACCCGCACCUUCCGAGGUGUGAAGACAUAAAUAUGCUAACUGCUGAGACAGAUGCAUUUUUGGUUCAAGUUCUUGUUGUCCAAUCCCCACUUCCAGCCCAGGAACAGUUCUGACUAAUCCAUUGAAAGGAGAAAAUUAAAAAAUAGAAGAUGUCAUUCCAGGCUAGCCUGUGAGACUCUCACUCAUGUUGGCCUCAUACCUUUGCUGUCCCAUCAAAAUCAAGAAGCAAGAAAUGGCAUGACUACUACAGGGUCUCUUCCAUGUGAAAUCAAUGGAACUGCUUGGGAACGCAGUUCUACUUAAUGAGGAAAGCUGCUGCAUUCUACUGAAGUGAGUUUAGUAGCACACAUCUUCACACCUGGAUACUUAGAGCUGCUAAGGCGCAGCCAAAAAAUGGUGAACACAUAGAUCAUUGUGGCCUGAUCCUCAUCUAAGAAGGCCGAACUCCAGGUAUUGCUGCAGAGGAGACUAGAGAAGAAGUAGCCAAAGGAAAGGAAAAGAAAUACUGGAGAACAAAAGUAUAUUUGAAAUGGAAGAAAUCUACAUUUCAAUGAAAAUACUUUUAAGCUAUUUCAAAUGGCUGAGAGAAAUAAUUACAAAGUUUGGAAAUAGAGAAUGGCAUCUUUGAUAUUUUUUUCUCCUGUGAAGCAAUUAAAAUAAGCAAUGUUUCAAAUACUCAGCAGAAGAUUGCUAAUGGCUGAACCAAAAAGCUUUCAUAAAAUUCUUGGGGCCUUUUUUUCUUCUAAAAAAAGACCAAAAAUAUUAAGGUGUUUUUUCUAGAUAGAUUAAUGCAUGAUGCAGUUGUUAGUUGGAUGCCAUAAAAACUACAGCAGCCCAGACUAGCUGAGAAGAAGAGCCAGAUUUAAAUCAUGCAACAGUCCAGUUAAUAUCAAUGUAUAAUUAAGAAAAGCACAAAAAGUCUGUACUGUUGAUUUGAUGGGAAAAAUCUAAUAGGAUUUCUUUAGGAAUUUUCCAUUCCAGUUGCCCUUGUAGACAUUUAAUGGAUUUCCUACCCUUUCUGUGGUAUUAGUGGCAAUAAUCACACGUUAAAAUCAAGCCCUAAAAUGGAACACAGAUAGACAAAUUAGCCUGUCCAAAGAGUGGUCUUUAUAAAAUGACUCUGUGAGCUCACGCUAAAAUUUUAGUACAAAUGUCUCAAAUGUGGUGUGAAAAUUUGCCAUAUAAUCUUGAUGUAAUGCGAACCCAUUUCUUCACCUUUCUAAUCUUGCUGAAAUUCCUAACAAUUCAGAAAUACUAAAUUAUGGGUUAUUAAACCUAAAUAAUUGGUCUUUUGAAAUGGCAAGGUUUUUUUCUAGUCAUGUAUAUUAGUAGUACAUUGAGGUGGGUUCUUCCGUGACUGGCAGAAAUUUAGAGUACAAUUUUCCUUAUUAAUAUGCACAUACGAAUGACCAUACUGGGUCAGAUCAAAGGUCCAUCUAGCCCACUCUCCUGCCUUCCAACAGUGGCCGAUGCCAGGUGCCCCAGAGGGAAUGAACAGAACAGGGAAUCAUAAAGUGAUCCAUCCCCUGUUGCCAUUCCCAGCUUCUGACAAACCGAGGCUAGGGGCACCAUUCCUCCCAUCGUGGCUAAUUGCUAUCCCCCAUGAAUUUAUCUAGAUCUUUUUUGAACUCUGUUAAAGUCCUGGUCUUCACAACAUCCUCUGGCGAGGAGUUCCAUAGGUUGGCUGUGCGUUGUGUGAAGAAAUACUUUCUUUUCUUUUAAACUUGCUACCUAUUAAUGUCACAGAGUCUCAUGAAUCUCCCACUCAUCACAGGAUAACUCAAUCCCUAGAAUGAAAGUAAAGGGGUGUCACCUGCCACACCAUACAAAUCGUUAUGGAAGUUUAGCUAAGUACCCCUAUUUGAUUGCUUUUAUGGUUGUGCCUUGAGUGUUAAGGGUGCACUGAAGUUGUAAAAUUAAAGGACAAUGUGUACACAGCUGCCUAGCAAAGAGGGGAGAAGGACUGGCACUGGAUUGAAGCAGCCGUGUAUUUGUGGCCACCACUUUAUUGUUGACCCAUUGAGAUCUGAGGGAAUUAUCUCAAUAAUCCAAGAAGACUGCAAUCUCAAAAUACCCCUGCUAUCUCAGGAGCAAACAUAGCAGAGAGUCAUUUUAUACUUUAUUAGAACAUAUGAGAAUACAAUACAAUGGCCAGAAUAAAACAGGGUGCAUUAUUCCAUCCCUCUAUAUCUUCUUUUCCAAUACUAAAUCUGUCUGGAGACCUUUUAAAUUAAAUUUAAAAUUGUUGCCCUUUUGUUUAGCAAAUAAGAAAAGAACAGAGAUAACACCUGAGUAACAUAUAACAGUGAAAGUUCUACAGUCUAGUUCACCAUUACUGACUGAGUCACCGUAGUCCAAAUUCACCCCAGGUGUAAUCCCACUGAUAAAUCAGAGGUGAAUAUUGGCCUAUUAUAUGAAAGUAUAGUGUGACAGCUGUGAUAAAAUGAAAUUCUUCUCAUUAACAUCCUUCUAGCUGAAAUGGGAGGGCAUUCUGGGUAAGAUAUCUUCAGCAAUGAAUUGCAUUCCUCCCCACUUUAAGCAAUUGGGACCCUAGGUCAUGUUGAAAAUCUGAUCUUUUCUCCUAAGCUGCAUGUCACCAGGUAAGUGUGAUGGGUAAAGUUCCUUUUAAAUGGUCACUCAAGACAGAGUAGUGGUGAUUCUUACCACAGCUUUCAAUAUAUGUAUGCAGUUCUCUGAUACCAAAUCAGUUAGCGGAGCCUUUUCUAGCUGUUGUUCUUAAGAGGUAAGCUACACUGAUCUAAAAACAUGAAAAAAAAUAUGAAAAAAGGGUUCCCAAUCUUGUCUAACUUACAUAGCAGGUAUACUCCAAAGGGAUGAGGAAACUUUUUCCACUCCUACCCAAAAGCCAUCCAUCUCUAAAGGUCACUAUAAUUGUGUUCCAGCCUCCUUACAUGGAACACAAUUGACAAGAUUAAAAUAAACCAAUUCAUUGGUUACCUAGCUACAGUAAGUCUAACGUAUGCAGAAAAGAUAGCAUUUCGUUUACUGAAGUUUGCCAUUGAAAUUGCUCAAAGAAGAGUGGAUGAGCCAGAAGAUAGAAAAUGGGAGACGGAUCUUCUCAUUUUUAGGUCUGUAAUCAAGUCAGCUAGACAGUGACCCAAAAAGUAAUUAUCGAUCUGAUAAAAGGGAGAGGUAACACUGUGGGACACAUGAAUAACUGCCCUUGGAUGUGAAAAAAAGAGUUGAAUUGAAAUAUCUAGUUUGUCAAUACACCUGGAAGGCCUAGUUUGGAUAUAAGAGGGAAGAAAAAGCAUUUUAACUUUAGGUAAAUUUAGUUCUAAGAAAGAUCCUAGACGAACAAUGGGGAUGAAGUCCUCUGAUCUGUCCUAUGUGACUGUUCCUGCUGUCAUUCUCCUAUUAUUACGUCUCUUUUCCUCCUUCUCUUUCCUUUAUCUGUGUUAUCCGUGCCUUUACUGCUACCUCUAUCCAUGCCUCCAAUUUCUUCUAACGUCAUAUGGCCUCCCAUACCCAAGUACAUACAAUUUUUUUGAAACACGUCUUCAUUUCCAUCUUUGUAUACACGUAUCCCUAUGGCUGUGUCUACACUGGGCCACUUAUUCCGGAAAAGCAGCCCCUUUUCCGGAAUAAGCUGCGAGCUGU